rnacentral:rRNA from 1 species
AAUCAACGCUGGCGGCGCGCUUAACACAUGCAAGUCGAACGAGAAAGGGAGCAAUCCUGAGUAAAGUGGCGCACUGGUGAGUAACACGUGGAUAUCUACCUCUUGGUGGGGAAUAACCUGGGGAAACCUGGGCUAAUACCGCAUAAGUUCGUGAGAAGAAAGGCGCAAGCCGCCGAGAGAGGAGUCCGCGGUCGAUUAGAUAGUUGGCAGGGUAAAGGCCUACCAAGUCUAAGAUCGAUAGCCGGCCUGA